rnacentral:rRNA from 1 species
UUUUACAUGGUAAUCAGAGCCUACCUCGGAUUCAUCCAUGGCGAGCUCAUCCGCAAAUACGUUCCCCUCAUCUCCUUUUGCACACAUCGCCACAGAGAAGCUCUCGAGAGGGAACGAAGCCCUUUGGCGCGCCACCGUCCUCUCUGCCAUCAGGGGGCGCAGAUGGCGGGCUUCCUCGAUCUGGAGCAGGAGGUGCCGCCCAUGUUGAUCGAGGUCACUAGCGACGACGGCAAGACCAAGUCGAAGGCCCCCAACCCUGAGUUCGGCACCUGGUACGCUCGCGAUCAGCAGGUUUUCUCUUACCUGUUGACUACGCUACCACGUGAGAUGGCCAUUCAGGUGGCGACUUGCCACACCGCAGCAGAGCUGUGGAACACCGUGCAGGGGAUGCUCAACUCGCAUACCCGAGCGCUGUCUGUCAACGUCAGGAUCGCGCCGGCGAAUCUUCAGAAGGGCAACUCCACCAUUACAGAGUACGUUGGUAAGAUCAGAACCCUUUGUGAUGAGUUGGUUGCCUCAGGAAAAAAGGUGGACGAAGAAGAUGUGGUUUCGCACAUCCUUGCCGGGCUGGAGGAGGAGUUCGACCCCGUGGUGUCUGCCAUGUGCUCACGGGUCGAACAUGUGACUGUCCCGGAGCUGUACUCACAGCUGCUGAGCUUCGAGACGCGUAUGAAUCUUCGCGGGGGAGCCUCCCAGUCCUCCGCCAACGCUGCGUCACGUGGGCGCUUCAACAACUCCAACAACAAGCAGAACGGCAACGGCGGCGGCGGUGGUGACCGCGGUCGCGUCUUCAAC